AUUUAUUUACAUUUUACAUUAUAAAUUUACUAUUUCUGUGAUUGUUUACUUUUUACUGUACAGAGUAUCGUUAGAAAAUAUGCAAAAACUCAUUUAAUUUCCAAAAAUAAUAACACUAGUCCUCCACUACUUCUUAGUGUGAUUUUCAAAUAUAGCCUUAGAUAUUUCUUGAAAUAUCGUUCUUUGUUCUAUUUUGUUGACCAUGAAAUUAAAAGUGUCAUUAGAUAUUUUAAUAGUAAUUGUCGUGGUAUUGUUUAUAAGUCCUAAUUUAUGUUAUAAACCUGUCGUUUUAAUUCAUGGCAUAAUGACGGGCAGUGGAAGUAUGGAAAUGAUUUCAAGAAGGAUCCAAGAGAAACAUCCUGGAACAAAAGUUUAUAAUGUUAACAGAUUUGAAAGUUGGUCCAGCUUAGAGACAAUGUGGCACCAAGUGCUGGAAAUUGGACAAGAUGUGGCAAAUAUAUCUAGUCAAUAUCCUGAUGGAAUAAAUCUCAUAGGAUACUCUCAAGGUGGACUAGUUGCCAGAGGCAUAGUGCAGACAUUUCCUAAUGUGUCUGUGAGCACUUUUAUAUCAUUGAGCUCACCACAGGCUGGACAGUAUGGAGCUGGUUUCCUCCAUGUGGUGUUUCCGGGUUUGGUGAAAGAGUCAGCAUAUGAAUUGUUUUAUUCUAGAGUGGGUCAACACACAUCUGUUGGUAACUACUGGAAGGACCCCUACCAUCAGUCACUGUAUGAGACCUACAGUGUCUACCUGCCUUUUAUCAAUAAUCAUAUAAAAUCAGCGAAGUCAGAUGAUUUUAAGGCAAAUUUACUACGGCUCAAGAGGCUAGUCUUGAUUGGCGGGCCUGACGAUAAUGUUAUUACUCCAUGGCAAAGCAGCCAAUUUGGAUAUUACGGCGUCAACGAUACUGUGAUAGAAAUGUACAAUCAAGAGAUAUAUGUAAAUGACUCUAUAGGCUUAAGAACAUUGGACAAGAGUGGUCGAUUGCACGUUGUGACUGUACCAGGGGUGAAUCAUUUCAGUUGGCACAUGAACGUGAGCAUUGUAGACGAUUAUCUAUUGCAGUAUUUAGAUUAAGAUUAACACGUAGAUCUGAUGCUUUUCUCGUAAUUUAUUGAAAAACUGUAGGUUUCAUAAGAAUUUGGCGUAUUGUCUUGUUUCAAAAUGGAUGCUCUGUUAUUUAAGUCAAAGUGAGUUUAAAAUUCAAUUAAAUCCUUUAUUUUGCCAGAAAACAUGUAACAAUGGGUGUCAGCAAUUUUAAAUUAUCAAUGUAACCGGCCAUUGCUGGCAUGCAAAAUUAUUAUUAAAUAUUAACUCUAGCGGCCUUACAAAUAAUCUGUGUAUAAAGUUAUAGCUAAUCUACCUAUAUAUAUAAAUGAAUUGCUGUUCGUUAGUCUCGCUAAAACUCGAGAACGGCUGGACCGAUUUAUUUGUGGAAGUCCAGAGAAGGUUUCUGUUGUGAAACAAUUUUAUUACGACAACAGGGUGCAUAUUUUACGAAGUAAUUCUUGAUGUUAUGAUAUAUUAUUGACAAAUUCAUAAAAAAACAUUAUUUUAUUUAUUAUAUACAUAACAACGUCUGUCGGAUCAGCUAGUAAACAAUAAAUAUGCAAAAUUUUGACUUUAUCACUGACAACACUGUCAAAAAAAUUAUAAUUCUGAAGUUUUUCAAAUGUCAGCCUUGCAAAUAAACACGGGAAACGUUAUACGUCUGAAUAAACCAAUCAUUAGGAACAUGUCUAAAUUGUAAAUAGUUUGCAUACUAGGUUUAUCUUAAUAUAUAUAAAUUACGUGACACGUUGUUUGUUCGCGAUGGACUCAUAAACUAAUGAACGGAUUUUAAUGGGGAUUACUUCAUGGAGUGCAGUUUGGUCCAACUUGAGUUGCGACCCAUAAUUAUUUUUAUUUUCAAUAUUUGUUUUGUAUGGACAUAUUUUCUAUGUGAGAAAUUAGUUACGCACGGUUUGACAGUUCCGCUGUGAAACAAUUUCAUUAUAACAACAGGGAGCUUUUUUAAGAAAUAAUUCUUGAUGUUUUGAAAUAUUAUUGGCACAUUCAUUUAAAACAGUAUUUUUUAUUAUCUACAGAACAACGUCUGUUGGGGCAGCUAGUUAUAUUAUAUAAUUAGGUAUAUUCUUAGGUAUAACUAUAUAUCAAGUUUAUUUGUGCGGCCGUAGUUGUUUUAAUUAGUUUUGCUGACAUAAAUCAAAAGACUGGCUAAUGUUCGUGUCUUCUGACUCCAACCAAGCUAUGCGGUGCUAUGAAUAGAAAUUGGCCAUAAGAGUGUGCAUGUUGGAAUUAGACAUACCAUAAGUAAUGUUAUAAAGUGGUGGUAUUGAAUUUUAAAAUAAUUGUUCACAAUCCAAGUGUGUUUUGGGUUGGGUAUGUUUUUUGUUUCAUUAUCAUCAGAUAUUGUUUUUUUUCUAAGAUAUUGUGAUAUUAAAAGUCGCUAAUUUAGACAUAAUAGAACUGUAAAGAUAGGCUUUGCCCAACACUGACAAAGUUAAGAGUGGAUAUGAAUUUUGAUAAAUAAUUUUUACAAGUUUUAAAAACAUUUUUUUUUUAAUUUUUUUAUUUAACCGUGUUGUGUUAUACAAGUCUAGCUACUUAUAUAAGUAUAUUAUUAUUAUGUAAUAAAUUUGGGUAAUAUUAUGUAGAUAUACUAUGUUGUAUGUACUAUUAAGUUAUUUCAAUAAAUUAGUUUUAAGUAGACAAUUUUACUAGACAUGUUUAGUGUGUACUAAGAGUGAUAAAUUGUGCUUUUUUGGCAUAUUUUAUGAACAUUCUUUUACCGUAAUAUUUAAUAUUUAAAUACCAGUGGGAGGCUCCCGUGCACAGGAUGCUGGCUAGAUUAUGGGUACCAUAACGGCGCUUUUACCUGCCGUGAAGUAGUAAUGUAGUGAAAUUGUACUGCCACUCUGAAUUUUUGGUUUUUUCAAGAAUCCUGAGCGGCACUGCAUUGUUAUGGGCAGGGCGUAUCAAUAACCAUCAGCUGAACGUCCUGCUAGAUAAUAACGCUACGGUAAUCGGAUAAAUUCUACUCAAAUAAUAAUUAAGAUGGCCAAAAAUAAUUUUAAUCAGAUUAGUUUAAUUAUCAAUUAGUUAAAACAUUAUUUUAUAGUUGAAUGUUUAUAACCACAAAUUAUUAUUUAUUUUUCUGGUUUCAAUCGCCCAAUAAGGACCAUAAACAAAUUUAUUUUGUAACUUUAUAUAAUUUAUAUGUGUAGAUAGAGUCUCUUCUAAUACAAUCGAUGACAACAGGCCAGGUCUAUUACUUUGGUGUGCCUGACAAGCUACGUCUUACACUCGCGAUUUGUAUGUCACUUUGUGUUAGUGUGCAUUCAUUGCUCAAAAUGGAGGUUAACAGUCAAACUCAAUAUUUUUAAGCUGUGAAUGUCUAUCUAGACUUAUAAAUGAUCUAAGUUUGUAUGAAUGUGCAGAAAUUUGGUACAAAUAUAUUAUUUAAUGUGUGUGUGUAAUAGUUUGUGUUAAAAUUAUUCACAAUAGGUGUUUAUGCCACUAUCAAGUAACCAAAAAUCAAUUAUUUAUUUAUUUAGCAUUAUAGAAUUUGAAGGACUUCCUUUUUAAGUUCACAGAACCUGUGUUAGGGAAGACCGCUCUUUCCAGCGGAUAAUAAUGAUAACUUAUUUAACAAAAAACAAAUACUUCAAUAAACUAAUCUUAAGUAAUGAAUGCCAGUAUGUCGCAAAUCGUACAAUAUAUAAUAAUAGUAUGAGUGUUAUAAUGGUUAAUUACUUGUAGUUGGAUUCAAUUUCUAUGACUCAAAAAAAAAAAAAAAAAAUUGUGGCGGAAAUACUGAAAUUGCACAGGUCGUGAGGUUUUUGAGAUGUGAAGUUUACGGCCUGAAAAGAUGGUUGUGGCUUUUAUAUUGUAUCAAAUACAAUGAAACUACUUAUAAAGUUUUCACUGUACAGUUGGCUCGUUUAGAAAUGAUCAUGCCAUGCAGGAAUUACUAGUUUUGUAUAUAUUUUUAUAAAUACUUAUUUAAAAUACUAGUUCAAGAUAAACAUUACAUUUACAGCAUUUUCCUGUUUCUGGUUAUGUGUAGGUUAUCAUACGAAAUAGAAAUUAAUGUUCAAAUUACCAAAUACUUAUUGUUACUUAUAGAAAAGACUAGAAAGUGUCAUAUAGGUGCUGUAGCCAGUGAGAUUACUGUGCAAAUUAGACUUAACAUCUUAAGGUGACGAGCACAGUUGUAGUUUCAAGAAUCCUGAGCGGCACUGCAUUGUAAUGGGCAGGGCGUUUCAAUUAUCAGCUGAACGUCCUGCUCGUCUUGUCCGAUAUUUUCAUUAAAAAAAAAUUGUCAUAUAUUUUUAUUUAUAUAAUUAUGAAACAGAUUUUUUGCUGUCGUCAUUUAUAUAAAAGCGUACCUAUAUUAUCAUAUAUUUAUAGAGCACUCUUUUUUUUAUCCUACCUACCAAAAGCCAAGUAAUUUUAUCAUUAUAAGUGUCAGAAACUCAUUCUAGGCGAGGAGAGAUCUCUCCAAUCAUGCGUUAUAAGUGUAUAGUUUUAGUAACGAGAGACGUGCCAAGAUUUUUCAAAUAUGUGUAUUUUGUAAGCGCACAUUAUAAAAAAUUUAAUAAAAAUGUCAGAAAUAAACAUUCAGUCAGGAAACUGCUCCUGUGGAGUCUGGAAAAGUAAUGGCAUAUUUUUUUUUUUUUUUUUGCGCCCAAGCAAGGGAAUGGGCUACCCUUCGGGGUAACGACGGGAGGGCGGUGGUGAAUGCUCAUGCAUACCAACGCAGUCUAAGUCUGCGUUGGUUAUGUGGGACUCACGUGAAAACCUAGGUGCCUACCCACUAAACACCACCUGCAGUUGGCUUUGGGCAGGUGCCCUCUAAGCCUACAUCGAAGGCGACUUUCUCAUGGGGAGAGAGAGGCGCAAGCGGCACUCCCUAUGGAGUUUCCGCUGGGAUAAUUAUAGGCCUUCCGCUGUACUGUGCAUUUCUUAUAUAGCACUCAACGUCACACGGUUAAUGCACUGUCGAUGUCGUGACAGUGACAAUGAUAGUUAACACAUACUCUGUUAAGACUAGAUGUCAAUACACUACAGAAUCUUAUAGGCAUUAUUUAUUACGUGACAGUAGAACCUUGCGACUUGCCCCGUACUAUUACGCCGGACUUCCUUUCCCAAUUGUCACGCGGGCAUAAUAUUCUAAUUUAUAAAAGAAAUAUUGUUAUUGUAGUAUAUAGCAUUAAACAGAUACCUCACAGCAAAUUGAUGGCUGUAUACUUAGUUAUAAGUUAGUUAAAUAACCAAUAAUAUUGAAACUAUGCCAUAAUAUAAUAACUUUUCCCUUUUUGUAGCAUAGUUUGGCACGGCUAUACUGAGCCCGCUUUUUUGAAGGUUUUUGUAUUGUUAUAUAUUUUCCUUGGAUUACGUAAAAGUGUACGUUUUCCACUCUUUAUAUGUCAGAUCUAAUAAUAACUGUACAAAUCACAACUGUAACAGAAUAGUUAUCGUUAUUUUAUAAAUAAAUGUAAUCAUCAUUCUCACCAAUGACGUUCUAUACAUAUGGACAUAUCAUUCGCAGUCUGACAGUGGAACGGAAAAAGUGUGCUUAAAGACAAUGUAAGCACACUUUUCUAUUUAGUCGUGCGUCAACUGUGUGUCAAUCAACAAGCCUAGGUGUGCUAUAAAAAGUGCUUAAAUAGUUCAUUAACGACCCAAAAAAGAAGAUGGACUGACUUAUCAUCGGUAAGGUUAUUUUAUUUAUAUAAGAUUAAUAUGCAAAAAGCUUAAGUAAUUUAAUAAAACAAAUAUUUUUUUAUUUAAUAUGGUAUUAAUUAUUGACAAGUCCCCAGACAAUAUCGGCUUUGAUAUUGUAUGAGGUGCAUUGUCUAUAUGUACGUCAUUGAUUCUCACAAUCUAAACUACAAUUAUUUGUGUGUUAGUAUAUCAUAUCAAUUCUUUGUUCAUUUUUACAAAUUACUGACUUAUAAUGUAUUCAAAGGUCUUGUGUUUUUCUGUAGAUGUACCACUGUAAGCAAAUUAACAUAUAAUAGUCAAGCAAUAGUCAAUAUAUUUGUCUCACAUUCUACCAAAGUUGUAAUAUGAUUACUGCUUCAAUAAUUUUUGGUUUAAGUUCUCUUAAUGGUGUAUAUUAUAACCCAUCUGAAACUAGUUAAAUACCAGUUACCAGUUUACCAGUUUGACCUUUGAUCCUACCUACUAAGCUAGAGCUCCCGGGUUCGAAUUCCGGUAGGUGCAAGCAUUUAUAUGAUGAAUAUGAAUGUUUGUUUCCGAGUCAUGGAAGUUUAAAUGUAUUUAUGUGUGUUUAUAUGAAUUAAUGUAUUUUUAAGUAAGUAUAUUGUAUAAAAUAUAUCGUUGUCUUGUAACCUAUAACACAGGCUAUAUAUGCUUAACUUGGGUCAAGAUUAUUUGUGUAAAAAGUGUGUAAAAAAAAUUAACUUAAUAGAUCUUCAAGGUGUCAUAAAUUAGGAUCACACAACUCAAAUCUUUUGGAGUUUUCAAUCUAUGGUGGGUUUUCAAAAUUUGAUUGAAGUAGGCCGUUGUGACUGAAGUAUGUUCGUUAAUGGGUGUCAUAAAAAAACAUACAUUGUACCAAUUUUUGAUUUUUGGACAAACAUCGACGACACACACGAACUAGAGGUGCGUAGAUGUCGUUGUACCGAUGCGUGUCAUAUUACGAGGAUGAUUUAUUAGGUUGUGAAAGCAGUUUUUCACUUUAAUCGGAGUAGUAGGGUCCAUCCAUAAAUGACAUCACACGAAUUUCUUGAUUUUUUUCACCCCUCCCCCGUCCUAGUGACAGCGGAUCACAUGUGUAGUACUGUGAGCGAGAAGAAUGUCUGAAUUAAUAAUGAAUUGUCUGUAGUUUAUGUAAUUGGUGUUAACCGUUUUAAUUAAAGUAAGUAAGUAAAUAAAUUAAUAACGUGAAAUAAAGCUAUUCCAAGUUUAAUCUUUUUAAACUUGGAGUAACUUUACACUGCGUUUAUUAAUCAGACAGGAAUAGUAUUGUGUUGUAAUUCCCAAGAGUUACAUAUUCACUAUAGUGACAGCGAAUUGAAAUAACAUUAACUAUUUGUUGUAGAUGCUUUUUGAAUAAAUAUACAAAUUUACACAA